rnacentral:rRNA from 1 species
GGUGCAGUCUCGGCGAUUUGCAGGGACAAGGAUGGGAAGUAUUUGGGUUCUUCAGCUGUUACCUUUGAUGGCUUGGUUGAUGCGGCAAGCCUGGAAGCAUUAGCAUGCAUCGAAGCACUUGCUCUGGCAAAGGACCUCAACCUCUCCCAUGUGAUCAUAGGUUGUGAUUGCAUGCAAGUGGUCUCAGAUAUUCGGAAGAAAGUGCUUUCUUCUUAUGAUGUACUCAUAGAUGAGAUAAGAGAGACUAUGAAAGAUUUUUUGAGUUCUAGUUUCAGAUAUGAGUGUAGGGAGGCAAAUGUUGAAGCUCAUGCCAUUGCAAGGCUGCUUCAUCUCUCCCUUCUGGACGCCGUUUGUGGCUAG